UAAGAAAAUAAAAAAGGCAUUAGCUUAGCUUUCCGUUGCAGCUCACCACCGACCUAUUUACAUAGAAAAUUUUCAAUUUAACAGUACCUAAUCUAAUGGUGAUCUUUCAGUUUCACAAACGGUAGCAAAUGAAUGAAUCAUUCAAAUUUAGCGAUUCUUUUUGCAACGCGCUCUAAUGGAGAAUCAUCGACGUGCGUGACGGUCUACAAAGAAGGCGGUGCUCCCGCGGUCUUUCAAUCCCCAAAAUGCCCCCGCUGGACUCUCUGAAAUUACGGUUCCACCAUCACCACCACAACCUCAAGCACCGCUCCUUGCCAAUCGGCGAUACUUCAAGGUCGCCGAAAGUCCCAAGAGGAUCGCAUCCUCUGUGCCCUCGAUAUUCGCAUCCCUUUUCCUGUUGUGGUGUUAUAUCUGCACCAGAGGUGACAGAUUGUACUCAUUCGCUGAUAGCAUAGUGAAGAGUGCCUUUGAACAAGUCUGGAUAAUAUGACAGCUGUUGUGGAUCCUUUGGGAUCUAUUGUUUUUUCUGAAGAUUUUCUCAACGAAAGUUGUGUUGGAGAGGGAGACAGAGAUUUCCCAGCAAGUAGUUGACUACAUAAGUUCAGUUAUGAACACUCAGUUUGUUAAAAAUAACCUGCUGCAACACUACUGUUAUCAACACAACAAGUGGCUGAAAAGCCACAUGGACCUCGUCAGGGAGGGAGGCAAGUGGCUGAAAAGCACUUCAAACUCCUGCUCUGUUGUGACUACACUCAUCACUACUGUUGUCUUUCUGGCGUCAACCACUGUUCCUGGUGGUAUCAAUGAUAGUAGUGGCAUGCCAAUCCUUGUAAAACAUCUAGCGUUCACCUUAUUUGCUAUUUCCUCGCUUGUUGCUCUGUGCUUUUCUAUCAUUGCCUUGUUUUGUUCCUCACCAUCCUCACCUCCCAAUGCCAACAGAAAGAUUUCCAUGUCUAUGUGCCGAGGAAACUUCUGCUUGGCCUAACAUUGCUCUUUGUUUCCCCUGGGUCAAUGUUGAUUUCUUUCUGUGCUGGACAAUUCUUCUUGCUAAAAAGUAAACUGAAAGAUAUGGCGCUUCCUGUAUAUACGAUGAUAUGCCUGCCGAUAAUCCUUUUAUCCAUAGCACAGUUUCCACCCUACUUCCAACUUUUAAAGGUUACUUUCAAGAAGUUCCCUCCACCGGGCUUUAAGUUAAGGUGGUUUCUCUCUAGGGUGUUUCGUCUUCAUUCUACAACUUUGUGUUGGAUUGGUGAUUUCACUUUUUCUAUUGUUCGAGUACUAUGGUUUCUUCAUGGUGGGAAUUCUUUAAUGUACCUUAAGGAUUUGUCUUAUACAUAAUUAAUUAUGUUGAGAAUUCUUUUAGUUGUAGGACUAAAUUUGCCCAUGAAAGAAGAUAAAUUUGAUUACAACAAAGUGAUAACAUAUGUGUUAAGUUUCUUUCAUUAUCUAAUGAUUAUUUUAUUUUAUUUUCUA